rnacentral:rRNA from 1 species
UACGGAGGGUGCAAGCGUUGUCCGGAUUUAUUGGGUUUAAAGGGUGCGCAGGCGGCUUAUUAAGUCAGCGGUGAAAGACCAGGGCUCAACCCUGGAACUGCCAUUGAUACUGAUAAGCUUGAGUAAAGUUGAGGUAGGCGGAAUUGACGGUGUAGCGGUGAAAUGCUUAGAUAUCGUCAAGAACACCGAUUGCGAAGGCAGCUUACUAAGCUUUAACUGACGCUGAGGCACGAAAGUGUGGGGAUCAAACAGG